rnacentral:rRNA from 1 species
ACGCUGGCGGCAGGCCUAACACAUGCAAGUCGAGCGGUAGAGAGAAGCUUGCUUCUCCUGAGAGCGGCGGACGGGUGAGUAAUGCCUAGGAAUCUGCCUGGUAGUGGGGGAUAACGUUCGGAAACAGACGCUAAUACCGCAUACGUCCUACGGGAGAAAGCAGGGGACCUUCGGGCCUUGCGCUAUCAGAUGAGCCUAGGUCGGAUUAGCUAGUUGGUGGGGUAAUGGCUCACCAAGGCGACGAUCCGUAACUGGUCUGAGAGGAUGAUCAGUCACACUGGAACUGAGACACGGUCCAGACUCCUACGGGAGGCAGCAGUGGGGAAUAUUGGACAAUGGGCGAAAGCCUGAUCCAGCCAUGCCGCGUGUGUGAAGAAGGUCUUCGGAUUGUAAAGCACUUUAAGUUGGGAGGAAGGGUUGUAGAUUAAUACUCUGCAAUUUUGACGUUACCGACAGAAUAAGCACCGGCUAACUCUGUGCCAGCAGCCGCGGUAAUACAGAGGGUGCAAGCGUUAAUCGGAAUUACUGGGCGUAAAGCGCGCGUAGGUGGUUAGUUAAGUUGGAUGUGAAAUCCCCGGGCUCAACCUGGGAACUGCAUUCAAAACUGACUGACUAGAGUAUGGUAGAGGGUGGUGGAAUUUCCUGUGUAGCGGUGAAUGCGUAGAUAUAGGAAGGAACACCAGUGGCGAAGGCGACCACCUGGACUGAUACUGACACUGAGGUGCGAAAGCGUGGGGAGCAAAC